UACAUGUAUAUGCAUAUCUUUAUAUUAUACAUGUAUGUACAUAUAUUUAUAAACGAUCCCUGGAAUUCUCCAACUCUAGUAGUAAAAUCCUGGCUCAAGUGAUUCGUCGGUUUGCUACACCGUUUGUAUGUCUGUUCGGGAUGUAACAAUAUGUAUAUAUAUAAAAAAGAAGAUGUGGUAUGAUUGCCAAUGAGACAACUCUCCACAAGAG
rnacentral:lncRNA from 1 species